UUCAUCUGGUGUCAAGUUUCCCCUCGACUCCAACACUGACUCGCGAAAAUACAUCAUAAGGGUCCGUGCAUUCGUGGGCGGUAAGCACCAGGCGUAAGAGGAUGAGAGAGCCAAGUUAUAAGAAAUUUGUCUCGCUUUUCCUUCCCUGCCUCAUCUGGCAAGCUCCGCCCGCCAUGUUGCCGUCCCGCCGCACACUCUUCCUCGUCGUGGGCCAGGCAACACAGCAACAGUCUCUGCCUCAGCUCUGCCGCCCCUGCUAGUCGUGUGUCCAGCGCCUCGUCGUGGUGGCCAGCGACAACUCUUCCCCGCAGGAGAUGAACCACCGAGAAAAGAAAGCACUCAGCCACGCCUCGCCUGCAGUAAAAUCUUCCUUGAGACAACCUGACUCCUUGGCUGUGUGACUAUACUGUAGCCUCCGAGGGUCAACGAACGACGAUCCAGAAGAAGCAGUGAGCAAGUAAAGGAGUGGAGGGAAUUAUUGUGAUUCUG